rnacentral:rRNA from 1 species
UACAGAGGUCUCAAGCGUUGUUCGGAUUCAUUGGGCGUAAAGGGUGCGUAGGUGGUGAUGCAAGUCUGGUGUGAAAUCUCGGAGCUCAACUCCGAAAUUGCACCGGAUACUGCGUGACUCGAGGACUGUAGAGGAGAUCGGAAUUCACGGUGUAAGCAGUGAAAUGCGUAGAUAUCGUGAGGAAGACCAGUUGCGGAAGGCGGAUCUCUGGGCAGUUCCUGACACUGAGGCACGAAGGCCAGGGGAGCAAACGGG